GACGAACGCUGGCGGCGUGCUUAACACAUGCAAGUCGAACGAUGAAGCCCAGCUUGCUGGGUGGAAGAGUGGCGAACGGGUGAGUAACACGUGAGUAACCUGCCCCUAACUCUGGGAUAAGCGCUGGAAACGGCGUCUAAUACUGGAUAUGAGCACUGGUCGCAUGGCCUGGUGUUGGAAAGAUUUAUCGGUUGGGGAUGGACUCGCGGCCUAUCAGCUUGUUGGUGAGGUAAUGGCUCACCAAGGCGACGACGGGUAGCCGGCCUGAGAGGGUGACCGGCCACACUGGGACUGGGACACGGCCCAGACUCCUACGGGAGGCAGCAGUGGGGAAUAUUGCACAAUGGGCGCAAGCCUGAUGCAGCAACGCCGCGUGAGGGAUGACGGCCUUCGGGUUGUAAACCUCUUUUAGUAGGGAGGAAGCGAAAGUGACGGUACCUGCAGAAAAAGCACCGGCUAACUACGUGCCAGCCGCCGCCGUAAGAC
rnacentral:rRNA from 1 species